rfam:Candidate division TA06 bacterium 34_109 MPJ_scaffold_41, whole genome shotgun sequence.
GCCGGUGGCUAUAGAGAAGGGGUCACACCCGUUCCCAUUCCGAACACGGAAGUUAAGCCCUUCAUCGCUGAUGGUACUGCGUGGGCAACUGCGUGGGAGAGUAAGUCGCUGCCGGCU